AGGAAGGAAGAGUAAACAAGAAAGAAAAAGAGAAAGAGUACAGAGGAACAGUUUGGAAGGGUAAUAGGCAGGGUAGAGUAGUAUGAUGUGGUGUGGGGAAAUGCUGAAGUGGUAGGCUGCAAGGGGACAGGGGACAGGGCAGGGUUAUAGGAAGGGUAAACUGAUGUGGUAUGAAGCGUUAAUGUGGUGGGAUGCAAGGAACAGCGUGGCAGGGUGUUGUGGUGAAGUUUGGUCAGGUUAGGUGUGGUUUGGUAUAGUGUGGCAGGGUUAUAGGAAGGGUAAACUGAUGUGGUAUGAAAAAUUAAUGUGGUGGGAUGCAAGGAACAGCGUGGCAGGGUGUUGUGGUGUAGUUUGGUUAGGUUAGGUUAGGUUGGGUGUGGUUUGGCAGAGUAUAGUGUGGCAGGGUGAAAGGGGACAGGGUAGGGUUAUAGGAAGGGUAAACUGAUGUGGUAUGAAGCGUUAAUGUGGUGGGAUGCAAGGAACAGCGUGGCAGGGUGUUGUGGUGUAGUUUGGUUAGGUUAGGUUAGGUUGGGUGUGGCAAAGGGUAGUGUGGCAGGGGUAGUGUGGUUGCCUGGCUAUCAGCUGGUGGUGGUGGUGGUGAGGCAGAUGUGACGUAACAGCUGCAAUGGUCUCUAAUUACUGCUUCUACUAAUGCCAUCCUUCCUCCUACUGCUGCCACUACUACUACUACUACAACUACUACUACCACUACUACUACAAUCAUUGCCCCCCCUCUCCAUUCCUUGCCUUCCUCUACCCCACUCCUUCCUCCUCCUCCUCCUCCUCAUCAUCAUCAUCAUCAUAAUACCCAAUCAACUAACUCUUCCUCCUCCUCCUCCCCCUCUUCCUCCUCUUCUUUUGACUUCUCUUACUCACCUACCCAUCCUCCCCUUCCUUCCUCCCUGCCCCACUCUU